AGUGCGAUGGAAUGUCGUAUCUCUUCUCAAAGUCAAUGAUCGGAGGUUUUCCUCAUCUUGUUGAUAUAGAAGUUUCAGAGUGCAAAUGCGUAAAGGCGGUGCUUAUUGAAGAUGCAUUGGAUGUUGCCUCAAAUUUUCCUGAAUUAUGCUAUCUAACCUUACGAGGACUCUCAAAAUUAAUGACAUUCUGCUAUAGUUUUCAUGACUCCACAACACUUUUUGAUGGUCAGUUGUCAUUAGACAAAUUAAAGGUGCUUCAUGCAAUAAAUUUGGAUAUUGAGCAACUAUGGCAUUACAAUUGUCCCCCAAAAUCACUAUGCGAACUGGAGGAUCUGACUUUGAGUGAUAAUAAUAAACUGUUGAGUGUCAUAUCUGGCAGUAGGAUGAUCAUGAGAUACAACAACUUGAAAAUUGUAACUGUGCAUAGAUGUAGAUUAUUAACAACUGUUUUUCACCUUGAAGAUGAUAGACCAAAUAAUCAAGCUAUGGAAGCACUUUUUCAUCAACUAAUGGUAUUAGAAUUAAGAAACCUAUGCAAUCUGAGAGAUAUAUGGUACAAGGAACCUAAAAUUCCAUUCUUCCAAAGUUUAAAAUCACUUCACAUUGUCCACUGUGGUAACAUCAAGAGUGUAUUCUCACUUUCUGCUGUUAGAAAUCUGACACAACUCAAAUUACUCAAGCUAUAUAAUUGUGAGAAAUUGGUUGAGGUAAUAGAAGGCGAUGAAGAUGAAAAUUUACCAAUCACUUUCCCUGAAGUAGAAUGUCUUAUACUCAAAGAUCUUCCAAACUUGGUUCGUUUUCAUGGACCAAGAAACAGAACUUUUAAUGGGCCUAAACUACAUACAAUAAGGGUGAAAAAUAUUCGAAGUAUGGUUACAUUUUGUGACGGCCAUCUUAACACGCCUAUGCUGAGAACUGUUUUGGUAUCCUUUGUGAAGAGAUGUUGGUAUGGAGACUUGAACAAUACCAUACGUCACUUAAAUGGUUAUGCAUCUUUCAAUAAUAUAAUUUUCUGUGAAGGUUCCCCUGAUGGCUUUAGCUGUAAGGACUUACAAAAUGCUUUAUAUGAAGUUCUUGGAAAAGGGAGUCUUGGGACAACAUACAAGGCUACCCUGGAUGAUGGAACAAAAGUGGUAGUGAAAAAGUUGAUAGAUCCAAGCAAGGAGAAAUGGCAGAAAGUGGUGAGUUUAGGGAGUAUGGGGCGCCACCCUAAUGUCAUGCCUCUUCAAGCAUAUUAUAAUUCCAUAGAUGAGAUGCUUCUUGUUUACCCCUACAUGCCAAGAGGCAGCUUAUUUUCCUAUUUACGUGGCAAUAAGGUUGGGGAAGAAACUAAAUUAGAUUGCCAUUCAAGAUUGAAGAUUGCACUUGGAGCUGCCAAGGGAAUUGCUUUUAUUCAUUCUGAGAGGGGCCUAAAUUUUACACAUGGCAACUUAAAGUCAACCAAUGUUCUCAUCACACAAAAUCUUGAUGAUGCCUGCAUUUCUGAUGUUAGAUUGACUUCUCAAAUGAAUGACUCAUCAUCUAUUAUGUCUAAAGCUAAUGUCUAUCGAGCUCCAGAAGUUACUGAUUCCAUGCAGAUCACUAAGAGCUCUGAAGUUUAUAGCUUCGGUGUGAUUCUUCUUGAAAUGAUGGUAAUAAAGGAUGUGUAUGAUAAGGGUUAUGAUUUUCCUAGGUGGUUAUUGAAUUAUUAUAUGGAUUGUACGACUUAUAGAUUUCUUAUGAGAAACCUAGAUAAUAUAUUUUAUCCGGAGCUUAAGAUAACACAACAUAAUGCACAUCAAAUUAUAGGCAUGCUUUCUAUUGCAUUUAAAUGUACAGAAGUGUUUCCAGAUAAGAGGCCUAGAAUGGAAGGAGUUGUUAAAAUGAUUGAGGAACUCUCCUCCUCUGAUAACACUAUAUCCAAUGGAGAAAAUGAUUCAGAUUGGACUUUAAAGUACAUAAGACCCUAGCAUGGAAAAUGUUGGAAAAAUGAAGAGAGUUGUCCUCCUCUUACUUAGACUCUAAUGUGCUGACAUCAUAACUCUUCCUAUCAACAGAUGUAUAUCCUCAUGGUAAGCUUGGAACAAUAUUCAUUUUCAAUGGCAAUACGUGUCAAGUUAAAAAAGAUUAAGAUGUAGCGUGGCUAGAGACUAUAUCAUAAUCUCAUGCUGAAGUGAGGUUACCUCUUGCAAAUUGCAAAUUCAAUGGAGGUCAAGGAGUUUUGAUGUCAUCAUUGGAUUUAUCCCCCUAUGUUUGUAUCUUUCGCCUCUCUCGAACUUAUGUUUCUUCCUAGAUAGAGUGAAUUCAAUUUAUUGUUUA